rnacentral:rRNA from 1 species
GACGAACGCUGGCGGCGUGCUUAACACAUGCAAGUCGAACGAAGUGGCGAACGGGUGAGUAACGCGUAAUCAACCUGCCCUUCAGAGGGGGACAACAGUUGGAAACGAAUGCUAAUACCGCAUACGGAAGGAGGGGAUUGCGUCGGAUUAGCUAGUUGGAGGGGUAACGACCCACCAAGGCGAUGAUCAGUAGCCGGUCUGGGAGGAUGAACGGCCACCAUGGGACUGAGACACGGCCCAGACUCCUACCGGAGGCAGCAGUGGGGAAUCUUCCGCAAUGGAGGAAAGUCUGACGAAGCAACGCCGCGGGAGUGAUGACGGCCUUCGGGUUGUAAAGCUCUGUUAAUCGGGACGCGGUACCGGAAUAGAAAGCCACGGCUAACUACGUGCCAGCAGCCGCGGUAAUAC